rnacentral:rRNA from 1 species
CAGCAGCCGCGGUAAUACGAAGGGGGCUAGCGUUGCUCGGAAUUACUGGGCGUAAAGGGAGCGUAGGCGGAUCGUUAAGUUGGGGGUGAAAGCCCGGGGCUCAACCUCGGAAUUGCCUUCAAUACUGGCGAUCUUGAGUAUGGAAGAGGUAUGUGGAACUCCGAGUGUAGAGGUGAAAUUCGUAGAUAUUCGGAAGAACACCAGUGGCGAAGGCGACAUACUGGUCCAUUACUGACGCUGAGGCUCGAAAGCGUGGGGAGCAAACAGGAUUAGAUACCCGGGUAGUCCCUGUCUCUUAUAC